UAUUUAAUUUAUUUAAUUGAUUGUUUAAUUAAAAUUUUAUUUUAUAGAAAUAACUUUUAUUAUUAGUACAUUUUAUGGAAUUUAUUGAUUAAUUUUUAUAUUUUAUUUUACUGUAAAGGUUAAUUAUUAUUAAUUAUAAAAGUAAAAUUUGUUUUUUGUACCUUUUGCAUCAGGGUUUAUUAAAAUAUUUUAUAUACUAUACUUUUCCCGAAGUUAUAAGAGAUAUACUAAUUAUUGUUAUUUAUUGUUAUAAAUAUAUUAAUAAAUUUAGUAUAGGGGAUAUAUUUUAUUCAUUUAUAAAUAUCUGGUUUCUUAAUAAAUGAAUUUAAUUCAGAAUUGAUUGAUGUUUAAUAUAUAAUUUUAUUUAUUUGAAAUAGGUCAAUUUAAUGUUAUGGGGGAUUAGCUCUGUAAUAAUUCUAUAGUUAAUUUUAAAUUUAUAUUUUUAAAUCUUGUAGAGUUAGUAAUGCUUUUCAUUUAUUUUGUUAUAAUUAUAUUUAAAGAGGGAUUUAUUUUAUUAUUACUUAGGUAGUUAUUAAGAUUUUUAGUGGAAUUAUUUAAUUUAAGUAAUAAUGAUAGAAUUAGUAAUUUUUAGAAUUUGUGUAUAGUAAUUCGGCAAAAUUGAAUCUUACCUGUUUAUCAAAAACAUGUCCUAUUGAUUAUUAUUUAUUUUAGGUCUGGCCUGCUCAAUGAUUAUAUAAUUAAAUAGCCGCGGUAUUUUGACCGUGCAAAGGUAGCAUAAUCAUUUGUCUUUUAAUUGAAGGCUGGUAUGAAUGGCUUGAUAAGGGUUCAUCUUUCUUUGCACAAAUUAGUGAAUUUAAUUUUUGGGUUAAAAAGCUUAAAUUUAUUUAUGGGACGAGAAGACCCUAUAGAAAUUUAUUUUUUGUAAUUUAUUAAUUAUUAUUAUUUAUUAAUAUUUUUAAGUUAUUAAGGAAUUUUGUUGGGGCGACAUAAAGAUUUUAGUAACUCUUUAUUUUUAUUAUAUUAUUUAUUUAUAUAUCAGGUGAUCCUAAAUUUUAUGGAUUAUAAGAUUAAUUUACCUUAGGGAUAACAGCGUAAUUCUUUUGGAGAGUUCAUAUUGAUGAAGGAGUUUGCGACCUCGAUGUUGGAUUAAAAUUAGUUUUAAGUGCAGCAGCUUAAUUACUAGGUCUGUUCGACCUUUGAUUUUUUACAUGAUCUGAGUUCAGACCGGCGUAAGCCAGGUCGGUUUCUAUCUAUAAUACAUGGAUCAUAUUUUAGUACGAAAGGACCAAGUAUGACAAUUAUAAUUGUUAUUAUUAUUUGAUUAUUAUUAAAU
rnacentral:rRNA from 1 species